rnacentral:rRNA from 1 species
GAUGAACGCUGGCGGCGUGCUUAACACAUGCAAGUCGAACGAGAAGUGGAGACGGAAACCUUCGGGCGGAAGACUUUAUUUCGAGUGGCGGACGGGUGAGUAACGCGUGGGUAACCUGCCUCAUACAGGGGGAUAACAGUUGGAAACGACUGUUAAUACCGCAUAAGACCACAGCACCGCAUGGUGCGGGGGUAAAAACUCCGGUGGUAUGAGAUGGACCCGCGUUCGAUUAGCCAGUUGGCGGGGUAACGGCCCACCAAAGCGACGAUCGAUAGCCGAGCUGAGAGGAUGACCGGGCACAUUGGGACUGAGACACAGCCCAAACUCCUACGGGAGGCAGCAGUGGGGAAUAUUGCACAAUGGGGGAAACCCUGAUGCAGCGACGCCGCGUGAGUGAAGAAGUGUUUCGGUAUGUAAAGCUCUAUCAGCAGGGAAGAAAAUGACGGUACCUGAGUAAGAAGCCCCGGCUAACUACGUG